rnacentral:rRNA from 1 species
AGUAACGGCGAGUGAACAGGGAAAAGCCCAAAUUUGUAAUCUGGCACUUUUUACAAGUGUCCGAGUUGUAAUUUGUAGAGCUGUUAUCCGUGCUGGACCAUGUACAAGUCUGUUGAAAAGCAGCAUCAUUGAAGGUGAAAAUCCUGUAGAUGAUAUGGACUACCAGUACUUUUGUGAUACGGUUUCUAAGAGUCGAGUUGUUUGGGAAUGCAGCUCAAAGUGGGUGGUAAAUUCCAUCUAAGGCUAAAUAUAAGUGAGAGACCGAUAGCAAACAAGUACCGUGAGGGAAAGAUGAAAAGAACUUUGAAAAUAGAGUUAACAGUACGUGAAAUUGCUGAAAGGGAAACGUUUGAAGUUAGUUUUGUAUUCGUUGGAUCAGCUUCGCAAGGAGUGUAUUCUGAUGAUAAGCAAGUCAACAUCAAUCUAUGAGUGCUGGAGAAGGGUUUUGAGAAUGUAGCAAUUUAAUUGUGUUAUAGCUUGAGACUUGGAUACAGUGCUUUGGAUUGAGGAACGCGUAGUAAGCUUUGAGCGGAUUCGAAAGGAUCUCCUUACUAUGGAUGUUGG